AGAGUUUGAUCCUGGCUCAGGAUGAACGCUGGCGGCGUGCUUAACACAUGCAAGUCGAACGAAGCACUUUUAUUUGAUUUCUUCGGAAUGAAGAUUUUAGUGACUGAGUGGCGGACGGGUGAGUAACGCGUGGGUAACCUGCCUCAUACAGGGGGAUAACAGUUAGAAAUGACUGCUAAUACCGCAUAAGACCACAGCACCGCAUGGUGCAGGGGUAAAAACUCCGGUGGUAUGAGAUGGACCCGCGUCUGAUUAGGUAGUUGGUGGGGUAACGGCCUACCAAGCCGACGAUCAGUAGCCGACCUGAGAGGGUGACCGGCCACAUUGGGACUGAGACACGGCCCAAACUCCUACGGGAGGCAGCAGUGGGGAAUAUUGCACAAUGGGGGAAACCCUGAUGCAGCGACGCCGCGUGAGCGAUGAAGUAUUUCGGUACGUAAAGCUCUAUCAGCAGGGAAGAAAAUGACGGUACCUGACUAAGAAGCACCGGCUAAAUACGUGCCAGCAGCCGCGGUAAUACGUAUGGUGCAAGCGUUAUCCGGAUUUACUGGGUGUAAAGGGAGCGUAGACGGAGUGGCAAGUCUGAUGUGAAAACCCGGGGCUCAACCCCGGGACUGCAUUGGAAACUGUCAAUCUAGAGUACCGGAGAGGUAAGCGGAAUUCCUAGUGUAGCGGUGAAAUGCGUAGAUAUUAGGAGGAACACCAGUGGCGAAGGCGGCUUACUGGACGGUAACUGACGUUGAGGCUCGAAAGCGUGGGGAGCAAACAGGAUUAGAUACCCUGGUAGUCCACGCCGUAAACGAUGACUACUAGGUGUUGGGCAGCAAAGCUGUUCGGUGCCGCACCAAACGCAAU
rnacentral:rRNA from 1 species